UUCCCAUAUCCCUUGAUCAUUCCACGCCGAACCUCCACUCUUCAUCUUAUCUCACCUUCAUAAUAUUACAUUAACUUACACAUAAAUGUUCUUGGUGUAUUAUUUUUUUAAUUCCUUAUCAACCCCUAAACAUAAGUAAGAAACUCGUUGUUUAUCAAACAAUUAUUUUCUAGAAAAAAUAUUUUCCUUCAUACCAAAACCAAACACACCCUAAUAGAAAAUUAAAACUCCAAUAAACUAUUAAUAAACAAGCAUCAACCAAUACAAAAUAUUAAUUAACCCACAUAAUUUGCAUAAGAAAUUCCAAAUUAACUAAUAACUAUAAAUUACAAUAAUUAGGAACUUAAAAAAUCUCUCUCUCAACCAAUACAAAAUAUUAAUAACCCACAUAAUUUGCAUAAGAAAUUCCAAAUUAAUUUAUUCUUUUUGUAAAAUUAAAUUUUAAAAAUUGUUUUCCUCAUUAAUUAGAGUCUCACCCUUCUCUUAAGCCCGUGAAUAUGUUCGGA
rnacentral:lncRNA from 1 species